UUACUUUCUUUUCCAUUUCAAAAAAAAAUAAAAAAAAUAUCCAAAAAAAAAAAAAAAUAGUAAUACAUGCGAAAAAAUUUUAUAAGCCAAGUAUAUAUCUGUUUUAAAACAAAAAAGUCUAAAAGCACUACAAAUAAUAUAGCAACAAAACAAUCAUACAUGUGCCAAAAAAAAAAAAAACCCAAAAGGGGGGGCCCCCCAACCCCUUUUCCAAAAAAAAAUCUAAAGGCCGCCCAAUUUUUUUCGGUUUAAAAAAAACUUUACCCCCAAAUUAAAAAAUUUUGUUUCCCGGGGUACUAAUCCCGUUCAAAAAAAAAAUUUUAAACUUUUUUUCAAAAAAAAAAAAAUUAAAAAAUUUUUACAAAAAUAAAAAAAAAAAAAAAAUAACCAAAAAAAUAAAUUUUCCCACCUUUUAGG
rnacentral:rRNA from 1 species